rnacentral:rRNA from 1 species
GAUGAACGCUGGCGGCGUGCUUAACACAUGCAAGUCGAACGAGAAGUGAAGACGGAAACCUUCGGGCGGAAGGCUUUAUUUCGAGUGGCGGACGGGUGAGUAACGCGUGGGUAACCUGCCUCAUACAGGGGGAUAACAGUUGGAAACGACUGUUAAUACCGCAUAAGACCACAGCACCGCAUGGUGCGGGGGUAAAAACUCCGGUGGUAUGAGAUGGACCCGCGUUCGAUUAGCCAGUUGGCGGGGUAACGGCCCACCAAAGCGACGAUCGAUAGCCGAUCUGAGAGGAUGACCGGCCACAUUGGGACUGCGACACGGCCCAAACUCCUACGGGAGGCAGCAGUGGGGAAUAUUGCACGAUGGGGGAAACCCUGAUGCAGCGACGCCGCGUGAGUGAAGAAGUAUUUCGGUAUGUAAAGCUCUAUCAGCAGGGAAGAAAAUGACGGUACCUGAGUAAGAAGCCCCGGCUAACUACGUG